rnacentral:rRNA from 1 species
GAUGAACGCUGGCGGCGCGCCUAACACAUGCAAGUCGAACGGAGUGGCGAACUGCUGAGUAACACGUUGGCAACCUGCCCUCCUCUUGGGGAUAGCCUCGGGAAACCGGGAUAAUACCCGAUAGAGAAGGAUGGCCGGCGGCCUGUACGCUUUUUGGUGGGGUAGAGGCCGACAAAGGCAAUGAGGGGUAGCUGGGUUGAGAGACCGACCAGCCAGAUUGGGACUGAGACACGGCCCAGACUCGUACGGGAGGCAGCAGUGGGGAAUCGGGCACAAGGGGCGAAAGCCUGAUGCUGCGACCCCGCGUGCGGGACGAAGGCCUUCGGGUUGUAAACCGCUUUCAGCAGGGACGCGGUACCUGCAGAAGAAGCCCCGGCUAACUACGUGCCAGCCGCCGCGGUAAUAC